AGAGUUGAGUGAGAAUUCUAACAGUAUUGCCAGUUACACUGUAAGAUGCAUAUCGCUUGUGAAAACUCUGUGUUUGCAUGUUGUUGUUAUGAACGUCAGAAUUAUGGAAGGAAUGCAUCUUCAUACCUACCUAAGGGACCACAGCAUAUACCUCCAAGAAGUAACAGAUUCAGCCGUAUGUACUGACUUAAGAAGGAAUCUGUUGAAAUGGUGCUUGUGGCCAUUUUGCAUGUUUAGAUGGUCUCCUGUUUCCUAGUUAUGCAUGUGAGAAGCUCAGUGCACGUUUCUAACUGAUCUGAUAUUGUACUUCCUUAGGGGCCUUGCUUCAGCUACACCAAUCUUUCCUCUAGCACACUGAAUGAAGAGCAUCUGUGUAACUAUGCUUGGCAUGAUAACAUCAGUAGGAAAAGCCAGAAGUCUUACAGUCAAAAGAGUUCAGAAGAGACGGAGCUGCAGGAAUUCUUCCUCUAAACCAUAUCUUGUGAUGUCUCACUUUGUUUGAAAUGCCUGAAAUGAAUCCUCUUGAAACACGAAUACGAGACAUAUCCCUCACCAGCAAAACAGCAACUGUUAGGAUGCCUUAAUUCGUAGCAGUUAGACCAUAUUCAAAACCUUUUUUUACGAUAUAUGUGUAUAUGUAACUCGUUUGUAAACUCUACUGUGUAAAGGCAUGGGUGAGCAAAAGCAACUGUUUGAGAAUUGCUGUGACACAGGCAGCCUCCAAAACGUUGGGCCGCAGGACACAUUUUGUACUUUGUCUCUUGCAUGGAUAUGUUGUCAUAUAUCUUUUGUUCCCUUUGUCAAUGAAAUACGCUGUCAAAGUGUCAGCCAGGACUCUGCCUGCUCAGCUCUCUAAUGAGACAGAGGCAAAAGCAUUGAUUCAAGUAAGUUUUGUCUGUUUUUAUUUCUACUUUUUGUAAAAAGGAAAUAAAGACACUGUUAAUAGGAC
rnacentral:lncRNA from 1 species